rnacentral:sRNA from 1 species
UAGUUUAAAUAUUUGGUUUGCCUAAGAAUUUAUUCCAAGAAGUUUACUGAAAUUCUAAGUUAUAUCAAACAUAAGCAUAUGUGUAGAGUGUAUCAAUCAUCUUGUAAUUCAUAUCCAAACAUAUUUAUUUAUUUUUGUACUCUAUUGACAAAAGAAUAUCAUGGGUUCAUUUUUUAAAAUGAAGCAAUAUUCAGCCUGCUGCUGCUAAUCAAGAUAUCAAUGCUCAUUGUAUUGCUUAGUUACCAGGACCCUGCCCAAAAUGGGGCAAUUCCAUCAGGAUUUGACAUUGAAUAAGAGUGUAAUAACGUAUGUGUUGUGUCCAUGCUGGUGUGGCUAAUAAGUGCAGCUGUGGUGCCAGGCAAUUAACGCGCAACGCAACCACUGUGGGUCACAUCAAAUCGGGUAUAGAGAAUCUAAAAUCUAGAAUCCAGAGUCCAGAAUCCGGCGGCAAUGCCCGUGACAGAGUUCCUGGCACGAGCGAUACGUCCUGCGAUACAAUCUCAAUUUCGGGUGCAGGAACAGUGGCUUAUGAGGGCUCACAGAAUCGGAAACAGAAGAGCAGGCAGGCAUCCCUUCUCCGAUAUUGCCGGUCACCCUUUUUGCCUCCCCUAAAUGCGAUCAAUUUGUGCGCUGCGCAUGCGCCCAUGCAAUAUUGCGGCAACCGCACAUGUUUUCAUUUGUUAUUAAAAUGUUUGAUAAUUUCAUUAGAGAUCCAUCAGCAAACAAAGGGUCCGAGAUUGUGUCAGCGAUAUGCGGCAUGUGCGAUAUGUUGCCGACAGUCAAAAUGGCACACGCUCAAUUUAAGCCUAAUCCUGCAUCCCUCGAAUCGCCGAAAAACGGGAAGCCGGGGCGUGUUUGAUUAUAAACAUGUGGGAUUUAUGGACAGCUCAUUUGGCGUUUCACACUCUCUUUUUUUCCAUGCUUAUCACAAAUUUAAAUCUCCACGAGUAUGUUUUCGUUGGCGAGUCGGCUUUAAAUUUGAAUAUGUAAUGAACAUAAUGGUUAAUUCCAUACGCUUAUCUGCCGGAUCAUAGUGCCUUUCAAUGGUCUCGCAUUUAUAUUCGAGUUUUUCAAUUAAAGCCAAGCUGUCAAAGUUUCCGCUUCACGCGCUGCUGAGCAGGGAAAUUCCCUCUACUCUCUGGCAGAAGACAAGGCCCAGAUGUCCUGUGCGUCCAAGGACAUGCAGCGAGUGCCACCAGUGCAGCACGGGGGUGGCAACGCGAUCGAGGUUCCGUCGCCGAGACCCGUAAAGGAAAGGAGGUGGCAAAGAGCGAUCGAAAGUGUGGUUGCAACGGUAGCAAAGGAUCGCUGGAUUUCCAGGAGAGGGAGUUCCAAGUUCCGACCGUUACUUUUCUCGAGGAAUACUUAAUGAGCGCCUGGGCUGGGAAUUUUUCGCGUUCGAGAAUUUUCAGUAUGGUAAAUGCUAAUAUCAAGGGGAGCACUCUGCAAUGCAUGGGAAUGUUUUUUAAAAGUUGUACAUAACAUUAAAUGCAAAUUGUUAUUAAAAAAAAAAAACAAUUUAAUAAUAAGUUUGAAUGACUGUAUUCAGUUUUAAAACAACUUACUUACUUCAUAAUACCGCAACUAUUUAACAAUGACUUCCAACCAUUCCUCCAAUCACUCCAAAGUCAACCAACCCACAAAGUUGUCAACUCAAAGCGAGCUCCCUUCACCUUGACUCCACCUCCGACGCCGAAAAACCAAAACACAGAACCAAAAAAAACCAUUCCCAACAAUACAGAAACGAAACCAAGACACUUUUGAGAUGGCUUUCGGCUUAAAUCGCGGCAACUCUUCAAUCGACCAAUCAAACAAUGGAACAAACUAUACACGAAGCACAUUUAGAUACGUUCGUAUCGCCAACUGGCGACUGGCAGAACACACGCCAGAUAGACCAAGCCCAUAAACGAGAUCCUAACUAACUCUCAGAUACGAAUCCAAAACCGAAAAACUCAACAGACCUCCGUCGAUUGACACUUUGUCGCCGGCAAAGCUGAUGGAUGAUUAAUGAGCUGAAAAAUAAAAAGCGAAAGAGUAAAAUUAAAUUGAAUAGAAGGCUCGUGUCGCGUCUUCCGCCAAAUGAUCAUCGUGUGUCAAUUUGGGCAUCAUUAGGAGUGCCACCUAACCCUUUUUGUUUGUUAUUUUUUAUUUUGUGCUGCUGCUGCCAAAUCGAUUAGCAGGCGGAUCUAACUUUGAUUUUUUCACAUUUCGUUUGAGCAAGUUGUAAGGUGUAAAUAAUUCAAUCAAUCAUUUGUCAACAGUUUCGGCUUCCGUUUAGCAAUAUAGCCUCCGAUUCAGGGUCAGCCGCUGGCUUUUGGCAGCCAGCAGCAUAUUCUCUGAUAUGUAAUUGGCAUGUCAAAGAGUUUCCAGCCCGCCCGCCUCCUUCGGCAUCCGUUGGCCUUGGUUAAUCCACAUCCUGAUCCCUCACAAUGACUCUAUUGAAUUGUCAGUUCGCUGUUGGUCGAGUGAAUCAAUCUGUCAGAUGAAAGGGGAAUCCAGCUGCAAGAGAUCUGGUGAAAGGCGUGAAAGGAUUGUGCAGGAUUUGGGGGAGAUGCUGACAAGGGGGCUGGUCAAUGACCAAAUGAUAAGGCAUCGAUGGGCGAACUGACAGCGGAGAUGCCUUUGUGGAAAGACAAAUAAAUUAGGUACUUUCAUUGGGU